rnacentral:lncRNA from 1 species
GCCGGCGCGCGUUACCUUUUCCGGCGAGAUCCGGCGGCUUCGUCUCCUCUUUUGGUGUCGAUUCGGCUUGGGUAUUGUAGCAUUGGGUGAUGUUUUGAGGUUUGAUACUCUGGCUAAGGUGAUUACCCGUAGUAGCUUUGGAUUUGGCUUUGGCGACUACUGUUUGGGUAUUCUGCCGCUUGGAAAUUUUGUCUCUUGAUCUACUAAUUCCAUUGGUGCUUCGAUGGUUUUUUCAGGCAAUGAUCCUUUCCAGCAGACUCGCCUUCAAGUUACGCUUCUGAUCUGCUGGACCCUUGCCUUUUACGUCGGUGAAUAGUAAUUCUUUCUUACAAUAAUUUUUCAUUGUUUUUUGAUAGAAAAAGGGUGGUGUUUUUUUGAAAUGGCAGUAACUUGUGUGGGUAAUGUAUGGACUUUGAUAAUGCUUUUGUUUCGUCUCUUGAUUUUGCUCCAUGGAUUAUUGAUUCUAGUGCAAAUAGACAUAUUACGGGCUCUUCUGAAAACUUCUUUAAUUAGCUUUCUUGUCUACAAAAAGACACUGUCAGAAUUGUAGGUAGUUCUUCCACUCCUAUAUCUGGAACCGGUUCUAUUGUUUGUACUCUAAAUAUCAAACUAUCCCCUGUUCUUCAUGUUCUUUAUUUCCCUGUUAAUCUUUUAUCUGUUAGUACUCUCACCAAAGCACUCAAUUGUAAAAUUAAAAUUUUUCCUAAACCUUCAAACCGGGAAAAGGAUUGGUAAUGGUAGACUGCAUAAUGACUUAUAUAUAUUGGAAGGGAAUCUGAGUUUGAAUUCACUUUGGGCUCUUUUUGGAAAAAAAUCAGGAUUUCAACCAGUAAAUUAUACAGUGGUAUCGACGGUUAGGACGCCCAUCAUUCUUUGUGAUAGAGAAAUUUUAUCCUGAUUUAUUUUCCAAGCCUCAAUGUGGUUCUUUAGUUUGUGAUGUUUGUGAGUAUGCUAAGCAUACAAAACCUCUUAUCCCUCCAGUAAUAAUAGGAAUACGAUCCCUUUUGAGACCAUCCAUUCUGACGUUUAGGGAUCUACUCAAAUAGUCUCACUGUCUGGUAAUCGUUGAUUUGUUACUUUUAUUGAUUGUCGCACUCGCAUGUCUUGAGUUUAUUUAAUAAAGGCAAAGAGUGAUGUGACUUUUUGCUUUCAAUUUUUUCACAAGAUAAUUUGUACUCAAUUUGAUGCUAAGAUAAAAGUUUUGAGAACCAAUAAUAGUACAGAGUGCAUGGAUGGCCAUUUUUGUACUUAUCUAAAAUCUAAUGGGAUACUGCAUCAAACUAGUUGUCUUUACGCUAGUGCUCAAAAUUGUGUUAUUGAAAGAAAAAAUACACCUAUUGGAAGUAGCCCGAUCUCUCUUUUUCACCAUGAAUCUUCCAAAAACCUAUUGGGGAGAUGCAGUCUUAGCCGCAGCUUAUCUUAUUAAUAGAAUGCCUCUCAAAACCCUUGCCUUUAAAAGCCCUUUAGAGGUGCUACAAGAGAAAAAAUGCUUAUAUUGUUCCACCAAAAGUGUUUGGAUGCACGUGUUUUGUUUAUAUUAGGACAGAUGGGAAGCUUGAUCCGAGGGCUAUUAAAUGUGUGUUUGUUGGGUAUUCUCCCAUACAGAAAGGUUAAGUGUUACCACUUUCCAUCUUAAAAAUAUUUUGUCAGUAUGGAUGUUACAUUUGGAGAGACUGAACCUUACUUAAGUACUACUCCACCUCUUUAGGGGGAGGACAAUGAGAGAGAAGAGAUAAUUCAUAUCCCUAUAACUCUAUAACGUUUUACUGUAGAGGAGACUACUAUACAGGGGAAUAUUAUUGUUGAUUAGGAGACUACUAUAUAGGGGGAGACUAUUGGUGAUUAAGUUGGACGUUUGGAUAAACUAGAUUUAAGGAGAUACUCAAGAAGAAACAAAACAAAAGCAAAAAAAGCCAUUGUGCAGCCUACUCAGUGUCAUAAAUCUUUCUCUUCUCCAUUUGGUGAGUCAUCCCUAAACCUUGAGCCAUUUGAUGAUCUAAAUAAACCAAUUGCUCAAAGGAAAGGAGUUAGAUCUUGCACAAAACACUCUAUUUUUAACUUUCUCUCUUAUGAUUCUCUGUCUCCAUCCUAUAGAGCCUUUGCCUUGUUUAUUUUAUCUGUAUCUAUUUCACAGGAUUGGAAGGAAACUCUUAUAGAUCCUAAGUGGAAAUGAGCUAUGAUUGAAGAAAUGAAAGCACUGGAAAAAAAUGAGACCUAGGAGCUUGUCACUCUCCCACCUGGGAAGAAACUUAUUGGCUGCAAAUGGGUGUUUACUAUGAAACACAAUGUAGAUGGAUCAAUUGAAAGAUUUAAGGCUAGACUAGUGGCCAAGGGAUACACUCAAACCUAUGGAGUAGAUUACCAGGAGACAUUUGCCCCUAUUGCCAAAAUGAACUCAAUCAAAGUAUUGCUAUCUUGCGUUGUCAAUCUUGACUGAGAUCUCUAACAAUUUGAUGUGAAAAAUGCAUUUCUUCAUGGAGAUUUGGAGGAGAAAGUGUAUAUGAAAAUUCCUCUUGGAUUUGCUGAU